GAUGAACGCUGGCGGCGUGCUUAACACAUGCAAGUCGAACGGAAAGGCCCCUUCUUGCGGGGGUACUCGAGUGGCGAACGGGUGAGUAACACGUGGGUGAUCUGCCCUGCACUUCGGGAUAAGCUUGGGAAACUGGGUCUAAUACCGGAUAGGACGAUUGUCUGGAUGCUAUUGUGGAAAGUUUUUUCGGUGUGGGAUGAGCUCGCGGCGUAUCAGCUUGUUGGUGGGGUAGUGGCUUAGCAAGGCGUCGACGGGUAGCCGGCCUGAGAGGGUGUGCGGCCACGUUGCGCCUGGGAUGCGGCCCAGACUAGUACGGGAGGCAGCGGUGGGGAAGAGUGCACAAUAGGCGGAGGCCUGUUGCGACGACGCCGCGUGGGGGAUGACAGCCUUCGGGUUGUGAACUCCUUUCGCUUGGGACGAGGCGCAAGUGACGGUACCGGGAGAAGAAGCACCGGCUAACUACGUG
rnacentral:rRNA from 1 species